GAUGAACGCUGGCGGCGUGCUUAACACAUGCAAGUCGAACGAAGCAUUUAGGAUUGAAGUUUUCGGAUGGAUUUCCUUUAUGACUGAGUGGCGGACGGGUGAGUAACGCGUGGGGAACCUGCCCUAUACAGGGGGAUAACAGCUGGAAACGGCUGCUAAUACCGCAUAAGCGCACAGAAUCGCAUGAUUCAGUGUGAAAAGCCCUGGCAGUAUAGGAUGGUCCCGCGUCUGAUUAGCUGGUUGGUGAGGUAACGGCCCACCAAGGCGACGAUCGGUAGCCGGACUGAGAGGUUGAACGGCCACAUUGGGACUGAGACACGGCCCAG
rnacentral:rRNA from 1 species